CUUGCUCCCUUAGGUCAGCGGCGGACGGGUGAGUAACACGUGGGUAACCUGCCUGUAAGACUGGGAUAACUCCGGGAAACCGGGGCUAAUACCGGAUGCUUGAUUGAACCGCAUGGUUCAAUCAUAAAAGGUGGCUUUUAGCUACCACUUGCAGAUGGACCCGCGGCGCAUUAGCUAGUUGGUGAGGUAACGGCUCACCAAGGCGACGAUGCGUAGCCGACCUGAGAGGGUGAUCGGCCACACUGGGACUGAGACACGGCCCAGACUCCUACGGGAGGCAGCAGUAGGGAAUCUUCCGCAAUGGACGAAAGUCUGACGGAGCAACGCCGCGUGAGUGAUGAAGGUUUUCGGAUCGUAAAACUCUGUUGUUAGGGAAGAACAAGUACCGUUCGAAUAGGGCGGCACCUUGACGGUACCUAACCAGAAAGCCACGGCUAACUACGUGCCAGCAGCCGCGGUAAUACGUAGGUGGCAAGCGUUGUCCGGAAUUAUUGGGCGUAAAGCGCGCGCAGGCGGUUUCUUAAGUCUGAUGUGAAAGCCCCCGGCUCAC
rnacentral:rRNA from 1 species